GACGAACGCUGGCGGCGUGCCUAAUACAUGCAAGUUGAGCGAUGAAGAUUGGUGCUUGCACCCAUUUGAAGAGCAGCGAACGGGUGAGUAACGCGUGGGGAAUCUGCCUUUGAGCGGGGGACAACAUUUGGAAACGAAUGCUAAUACCGCAUAACAACUUUAAACAUAAGUUUUAAGUUUGAAAGAUGCAAUUGCAUCACUCAAAGAUGAUCCCGCGUUGUAUUAGCUAGUUGGUGAGGUAAAGGCUCACCAAGGCGAUGAUACAUAGCCGACCUGAGAGGGUGAUCGGCCACAUUGGGACUGAGACACGGCCCAAACUCCUACGGGAGGCAGCAGGAGGGAAUCUUCGGCAAGGGACGAAAGUCUGACCGAGCAACGCCGCGGGAGGGAAGAAGGGUUUCGGAUCGUAAAACUCUGUUGGUAGAGAAGAACGUUGGUGAGAGUGGAAAGCUCAUCAAGUGACGGUAACUACCCAGAAAGGGACGGCUAACUACGUG
rnacentral:rRNA from 1 species